rnacentral:rRNA from 1 species
GAUGAGCCCGCGUUGGAUUAGCUAGUUGGUGGGGUAAAGGCCUACCAAGGCGACGAUCCAUAGCUGGUCUGAGAGGAUGAUCAGCCACAUUGGGACUGAGACACGGCCCAAACUCCUACGGGAGGCAGCAGUGGGGAAUAUUGGACAAUGGGCGCAAGCCUGAUCCAGCCAUGCCGCGUGAGUGAUGAAGGUCUUAGGAUUGUAAAGCUCUUUCACCGGGGACGAUAAUGACGGUACCCGGAGAAGAAGCCCCGGCUAACUUCGUGCCAGCAGCCGCGGUAAUACGAAGGGGGCUAGCGUUGUUCGGAAUUACUGGGCGUAAAGCGCACGUAGGCGGAUAUUUAAGUCAGGGGUGAAAUCCCGGGGCUCAACCCCGGAACUGCCUUUGAUACUGGGUAUCUUGAGUGUGGUAGAGGUGAGUGGAAUUGCGAGUGUAGAGGUGAAAUUCGUAGAUAUUCGCAGGAACACCAGUGGCGAAGGCGGCUCACUGGACCACAACUGACGCUGAGGUGCGAAAGCGUGGGGAGCAAGCAGGAUUAGAUACCCUGGUAGUCCACGCC